ensembl:misc_RNA
CUUUCUUCCCCCUUUCCCCGAGAGGGAGUAUUCAGGUCGGUGAGAAUGUACUAUAAAUUUCUUUCAAAAACAACGGAACCACUCCUUAGCCCCCUCCGCAACAGUUGCCUCCGCACUUUAUUGCCAGUUUACGG